rnacentral:tRNA from 1 species
GGGGUUGUGGCUCAGUAGUAGAGCACUUGCCUCACACAUAUGAGGCCCUGGGUUCAAUCCCCAGCACCG